GACGAACGCUGGCGGCGUGCUUAACACAUGCAAGUCGAACGGAAAGGCCUCUUUCGGGGGGUACUCGAGUGGCGAACGGGUGAGUAACACGUGAGUAACCUGCCCUUGACUUUGGGAUAACUUCAGGAAACUGGGGCUAAUACCGGAUAGGAGCUCCUGCUGCAUGGUGGGGGUUGGAAAGUUUCGGCGGUUGGGGAUGGACUCGCGGCUUAUCAGCUUGUUGGUGGGGUAGUGGCUUACCAAGGCUUUGACGGGUAGGCGGCCUGAGAGGGUGACCGGCCACAUUGGGACUGGGAUACGGCCCAGACUCCUACGGGAGGCAGCAGUGGGGAAUAUUGCACAAUGGGUGGAAGCCUGAUGCAGCAACGCCGUGUGCGGGAUGGCGGCCUUCGGGUUGUAAACCGCUUUCGCUCAUGACGAAGCUUUGUGUGACGGUAGUGGGUAAAGAAGCACCGGCUAACUACGUG
rnacentral:rRNA from 1 species